rnacentral:lncRNA from 1 species
AAUAAUUAUGAGUAAUAAUGAUCCCAGGCAACCAAGUGACGUCAACAACGUCGAGGAAACGUCAGUAUUUGGUGGAAUAUAUACACGUAGUUGAACAUUACGUCAUAUCGACGUCUUUUGUAGGUGAUUUUAAAUACGUAAGAUUAAUGACGUUAAAAUACGUUUAAAAGACGUUUUCAUUUCAGCCAGCCCAAGUCUGACGUCACGAAAUUGGGAGGAGCUUGGAGCUUAAAAGUUACAAAACUAGGGUUAUGUUUGUAUCAUCGUUGUCGUUUGUCGUUUCAUUUCAUUGUUUGUUUGUCCUAGUAUUUUGCCUUUUUUGGAUUCAUUUGGAUUUUGUUGGCUGUUUUGUGUAAAUUUUAUAAAUUUACCACAAUGCAAAGAGAUUAUUAAAGGAAAUUAUUAAUGGAAACUCCGCAGAUGUUUUAGAAAGAUAUUCAUUGAAGCUGAAAAUAAUUGGAGAUUUAGAUCCAUAUACAAUUCAGUCAUCAGAAUUGGAUUUUACAGUGCAUUCCAUAAAUUACUGUUAUAAUGCUAUUAUAGAUAGACUGGUAGAGUCUCACAGUUACUGCUUUAAGCAGCAGAUGAAAGCAUACAAAAGCCUUCAGGCACAUAAAAGCCUUCACAACUGGAUUUGUUUUGAAACAUUGAUGUUUUGAUGAUUUCUAUAUUAUUGUUGGAAAGGUGAAAAAUUCCCAAAAAGCUAAUGCUAAACCGCUAGAUGCUUCGGUGAAUAGCCAGUUCCAAUGGCAUAGCAAAUGCACAUUGUAUGUGUAUGGCCAGUAAUAUUGAAAUUUGCAGCCAUAUUGCAGCAAUCUUAUUUGCAGCUGAGUAUGCCCACAGCAAGACAGAAGAAGAAGAACCCAAUGCAUGUACAGAUGUUACAGCUAUGUACAUUCUCAGGUGAAAAACUAAUGAGUUUUCAAGCUGUUCGGUCAGAGUGCUUGUUGCGCUCUCUAAACGAACUGAAAUAUAAGACGGCUUUGGCUUCAUGUUGCAGUGAUAUGAAAAUGGUUAGUCAUUUUUAAUUAUAAUGUACUUCUUCAUCAUGAGUAUUUAUGUAUAGGGCUUUUCAUUCACAGUCAUUUGUUUCGAGCUUCUGUCAUGUGUCACAUAAUAUUAAUAUUAUAUCUACGUCAUACGUUAUUGGUAUAUAUCAAUGAUACACACCAAAGACAUAUGGCAUAGAUAUAUUAAUAUUAUGUGACACAUGACACAUGCUCGAAACAAAUGACAGUCGAUAAAAAGCCCUAUUAGUCUUUUAAGUGUGUAUUAUCAGAUAUCACAUGUAAAUUGUUUUUAUCAUGUUAAUUUGGUCAUUACAGUCCCUUAAUCAAAAAAUAUAUUUUUCAGGUGUCUGUGGAUCUUUUUGUAUGCAAAAAUUUGUAAUAAUUAUUUGAAAUCAUUUUGAGGAUUAUUAGAGUAUGGAAAUAUAUGUGAGAACACAUACUAUUAUAGUUUUGUCCUAUUUUUUAUCAUUCAAUAGUCUUCUUAAAAUUUAUAAAUAUAAAGCAGAUAGUUUUCAUUGAAAUUCAAUAUAUUGGGUCUUAUUUGUAUGUAUUCAUUUUUGACUAAAGGUACGAUUCCGAUAACGACUGCAGACAGCAACUGCAAACAUCAGUUGCAGUUCUCGGCGUUAUGGACGUUACUACUAUGCACUAUUUAUCUGUAUGAGACUUAUUCCGACAUCUGACUGCAACUGCUGUCUGGCAGAACGUCAGUUGCUAAUAAUUAUGCAAAUUAUUAGUGCAAAAUAAUGACGUCUGUCAUGGUGACAACUGUAACUGCCAUCUGCAGUCAUUGUCGGAAUCGUACCUUUAAAGUGUGUGGUAUAAUUAUAAUAAUUAUAUAUAUUAUAUAACUUAAAUGGUUUAAACUUAAGUUUGUUAUUACAUUGUGACUUAAAUGUUUAAUUUGUUAAUAAAUGAUUUAUUAGUUUA